rnacentral:rRNA from 1 species
UACGUAGGGUGCUAGCGUUGUCCGGAAUUAUUGGGCGUAAAGAGCUUGUAGGCGGUCUGUCGCGUCUGCUGUGAAAAUCCGGGGCUCAACCCCGGACUUGCAGUGGGUACGGGCAGACUAGAGUGUGGUAGGGGAGACUGGAAUUCCUGGUGUAGCGGUGAAAUGCGCAGAUAUCAGGAGGAACACCGAUGGCGAAGGCAGGUCUCUGGGCCACUACUGACGCUGAGAAGCGAAAGCAUGGGGAGCGAACAGG